rnacentral:rRNA from 1 species
AUGGCGGAAGCUUUAGCUCUAAAAUUCGGUCUAACACUGGCGCAACGGGCGGGAUGCAAUCGCCUUAUUAGAAAUUCGGAUAAUAUGGAGGUGAUUGAUACUAUGAAUGAUGGAGGACAGUCGGCGGGUGCGGCGGCAGCAAUCUUCGAUGACUGUUUUCACUAUGCUUGUGAUUUCGUUACUGUUAGAUUUGAGCACUAUAAUAGGGAAGCAAAUAAAGUAGCUCAUGAGCUUGCUAGAUUAGCUAGAUUUUCUUUGACUUCCGAUUGGUUUGAGGAGCCUUUAAAUGAAAUUGUAAUUAUCCUCACAAACGAUGUACUACUUAUUACAAAUGAAUAA